GUAACCUGAGAACCCGAAAAGUCGAAGGAAGAAAUUCAUUCGCGUUUCAUUUCAUUGACAAUCUAGUUGAUGUUUAGACAGUAUGUGUACUUGAAUACAUCCUUGUGGUGUAUCCUUGAUAUAUAUGUUGCUACAUAACUUUUUUCUAGUCUGAUGGUGAACGCGUGCAUUUUUCUUCUGGUAGGACGUUGCGAUCCGUUAGGAUAAUUAUCGAUCUAUGAUUUAUGGUUUAGUUCAAUGAUACAUAUAUUUUAUGUUAAUAUUAUUGAAACUGUAGAAUCUGAUCGAUUGACCUGACGGUAAUUUAAUGGUUAAAAGCCGCUAUGUAAUUAUUAGCGUUAGAGGUUGAACAAGUAUAUAAAUUGUGUAAAGGCAAUAUUAUUAUUCGUAGUAAUAUUGUUCUCGGUAAUUGGUAUUUAUAUCAAUUCCGGGCCAGUUAAAUACUGUUUAUUGUUUAACAUAUCUCUAACAGACUUUAUUAUUUUUAAAUAAAACCAAUCAGCAACGCUAUAGCUUUGGGUAAUUUCAGGACCCGUCUUGAAACACGGACCAAGGAGUCUAGCAUGUACGCAAGCCAUUGGGAUAAUAAACCUACAGGCAUAAUGAAAGUAAAAAUUAAUAUUUCAUAUUUUUAUUAAUGUGAAAUAAAGGGAAGAUGYAUAUUUUCUAUAAUAUAUUUAUUUAUUUUAUAGAAAUGACUUAUUUCGCAUUCCCGGGGCGUUUAAAUUCUAUUGAUUGUCCGCAAUUGAUGAGAUUAAGCGCACCAAGAGUGUACACGCUGGGACCCGAAAGAUGGUGAACUAUGCCUGGUCAGGACGAAGUCAGGGGAAACCCUGAUGGAGUCCGUAGCGAUUCUGACGUGCAAAUCGAUCGUCGGAAC
rnacentral:rRNA from 1 species